rnacentral:lncRNA from 10 species
GAACAUUUGCUUCUCCUCUGGGACUCUAGAAUUUUGGUAUGGGCUAGGCAGAGGGUGACCAUAUGACCAGCCUCCAACAUGAAACUCUGGGCAUUGAAUCUCUACUGACCUGCUCAGAGAUGGGGCCCCACUUUGCUGUCCAGCCUUGGUUCAAAACUCCUAGGUUCAAAUGGUCCUCCUGUCUCAGCCUCCUAAAGUUCUGGGAUUACAGCACUGGGGAAGAAGCAUUUCUAACAGGAGCCUGCAUGCUGAGGAUGGCAGAGGAAAAAGACAGAGCCAUACUGAGCCCUUGGAGAUGCCACUGAGGAGCUACGCUAACCAAUCCUGGAGGCACCAUAACCUAGGACUUCUUCUUAUACAAGG